rnacentral:rRNA from 1 species
ACCCCCUGAAUUUAAGCAUAUUAAUUAGGGGAGGAAAAGAAACUAACCAGGAUUUUCUUAGUAGCGGCGAGCGAAAAGAAA